UGUCGUCCGUCGGAGUCCGUCCACCUCGGACGCGUUCUCAGCUUCUUUCCUUUUCUUCGGUAGUGUGGCAGUUCCUCUUCUUAGAAGAGAAAAACGCACAAAAUCCCUCUUCCUCGAUCCUUUCUAUUUCACCGUGCUGUCGAAAAGAAACGCUUGUCACGGGACGACCUCACCCGGCACAUUGCCUGUUCCUGUCGCCUUUUCUCGCGUCGUUUUUGGUUCUCUAGUUCUUUCGUUACCUCUUCGACUUGCAUUUCUGUCUGAUGAAUGGUCAGGGAAGUCUUUCCUCUUCGCUCCUUUCUUCUCGUUACUCGCUGGCGGAUAUUUUGUCUCCUCGUUCCAUUCCCUCGCGUCGGUGUCCGCGCCGGCUGCGUAGGCCUUCCAGAGCAAGUGGCAAACUCUUUCCGUCGAGCAGGUUUUUGCCCUCCACUCCUUCCUCGACUUCGCUUUCUGUUCGUCUCUCCCCUUCCUAAAUUCUGUGCAGGUCCCCGUAGCCUCUCCCGCCUUGCCUGUGCCCGAAAAUCGUUUUCUAACUGUACGGUGUCUGUACACCUCACUGCCCGGCAGUCCUCUCUCGCCGCGGUCCGGGUGUACAUACACCUCAAAGGAAAGGUCUGCGGGAAUCGGUCCAACCGCCGGGUGCUUCCCAGUGUAGACACCCCCGAGGACACAGGUCAGCCACGUUGGUGGCUCCGCGGAAAGAAGUCAGCAAGGCAGCGGUAAGCGAAAAUGCUGCCCAUCUCACAAAAACUUCUUCAGCUCGGCAUCGCAGUUACCUCGGGAAUUGCGGGCGGCUGGCUCGUAUAUAAGCCGUGGCUGGAGAAGCGCAUGGAGGAGAACGAGGCGUUGCGAGCUGCGCGCUCUCAGCGCCUCCAACAGGCGCCGCCUGCGACGGAGGGGAAAAGCGUUGCUUCUGCAGUCGCCAAAGACGCGUAAGCGAAGCAGACCGUCCACAGAACGCGCAAGGCCGACCAGCUUCGAGCAGCAAGGCCUGUCUUGCGUCCGUUCGCUCUCAAGAGCCGAGUCGCUUCUUUCUCGACCUGGAAGCAAAAACCCGAUCCGCGUCGGUGUGCAGGAGGAACAGAACCUCGCACGUCAAUUCCUUAAGGCGAAGAACAUGCAUGUUCAAGGCAGCCUUCGAGAGUCGCGCUUCUCUCGGGGAAGCGAACGCGUGCUGGGCUGUCUCUACAGCGACAUGUCUAUAUUUGUAAAGUCUUUUCAACUGCACACAUGUGCUCGUUAUUCGUGUCUUGCAUUCGGCCAGUCAUCUAUUCACAUUGCCCUAUGUAUGGAUCGUCCACCCUCCAUUUGCGUAUCUCGGAAUCGAGCUCUCUGCGUAGGCAUGUGAGGAGUACUCAGGUUCUGCAUGCGCUUCGGGAAACGGUUCCCCUUCCAGAUCUAAAGGGAAGCCCCGUGACCCGCCGUGGCGCUGUUUGUGCGACUCACUCCCCCGUUGUUUUUUUCUCCAGGGAAUCCAUCAACUUCUUUCAAGACUCAAUCUGUUUUUAUACAUGUACACAUAAAGGCGUGUGCGGGAAUACUAACACUUGCUUUUCUCGCCGAAUCGAGGGACGGAGAAGGUUCUUUCAGUGCUGUCUGUGGACGCCGCCGUGCAUGCGUCCACCUCAGCGCAAACCUGUGCGCCUGUGCGCGGCUUCGGAUGCAGGUGCCUAGCAGACGCUGGCGAGCCUCUCGCGGUCGAAAGCCUGUUCAGCACAGCGGCAUUUGAGGAACCUGUUGAAACUCACAGAACGGUCACUUCCCGCAUUUUCAGCGGCGGCUCGACGGGCGCCAAACACGACCGAGAACUCGCCAGCGCUUCACACAGAUACCUUUAGAACGGAAACACGAGGAAGGGCGGAGACGUCAAGUGCAUGAAAUACAGGCGUGUCCAGCGAACAUUUGAAAAACAAACAUUUGUAUUCUAGAUGGACGAGUAUCACGAUAUGCACCUAGGUAGUCUCCUUCCUGGCGUUCGUGUAUGUACGGCAUAGCUUGGUCUAACCAAGCUUAUGCUGCCUAGCGGUUUCGGCUUCGGUCCGCGUUUCUGUGCCAUUGCGAGAAAAGCGUCCAGGGGAUUCUGUCUGAAGCCUCAUCCGGUCAGUUGCGUCGUUUUUCUUCGCAGCGGGUUUUUGCUUUCUAGACCCUGCAUCGGGUGGACCCCCGAGCUAGG
rnacentral:lncRNA from 1 species